rnacentral:misc_RNA from 1 species
AGCUUCUAAUGGAGCAUUUUAAACGUAUAGAGUAUACUAUGAAGUAGAUAGUAGUGCGGAUCAUUUUAUAUUCAUAGUGGUGCUUUCAUGGUUUCACUAGGGUUUUGGUGAAAGCUUAGAUAGACGAAUAUGCGGCUGCUUCUGUUCCAAAUAUCUCCGUUACUGUGCCUGUUGACGGAAAUCGGCGCGGCUGGGAUCGGUAAAGCAUGUCAGAUCCUGCCAUACGCGACCGAUUCCUGGAAUCACCCAUCAUGGCCACGGCUCGACUCUUCCGCGUUCGAAGUUCGCAGCGUGACCGGAAAUAAACGCUGAAUUCUGAUUGUAGAGUGGAUACAGGCAAAAGUACCGAUACGCGACGGUACGACAUAGCCAUGCAUUAUUACAUUUUUUUUCUUUUUUUUUUUUAAGAUUAUUAUUGUAACUUAAAUUUAAGCCGCUGUUACGCUGUGCCUAUGUGCGAUAUUUUAAUUUAUGUCCUGAAAGCCUGG